rnacentral:rRNA from 1 species
AUUGAACGCUGGCGGCAGGCUUAACACAUGCAAGUCGAGCGGAGAGAGGUAGCUUGCUACUGAUCUUAGCGGCGGACGGGUGAGUAAUGCUUAGGAAUCUGCCUAUUAGUGGGGGACAACAUUUCGAAAGGAAUGCUAAUACCGCAUACGUCCUACGGGAGAAAGCAGGGGAUCUUCGGACCUUGCGCUAAUAGAUGAGCCUACGUCGGAUUAGCUAGUUGGUGGGGUAAAGGCCUACCAAGGCGACGAUCUGUAGCGGGUCUGAGAGGAUGAUCCGCCACACUGGGACUGAGACACGGCCCAGACUCCUACGGGAGGCAGCAGUGGGGAAUAUUGGACAAUGGGCGGAAGCCUGAUCCAGCCAUGCCGCGUGUGUGAAGAAGGCCUUAUGGUUGUAAAGCACUUUAAGCGAGGAGGAGGCUACUUUAGUUAAUACCUAGAGAUAGUGGACGUUACUCGCAGAAUAAGCACCGGCUAACUCUGUGCCAGCAGCCGCCGUAA